GACUUCUGAUCCACUGUAAUUUCUUCUGUACUUUCAGGGUCAUUCAAGUUACCGACACUUUAGCUUCAAAAUUUGAUGAAUUUGAGUCUGACUUCAACAGGAUUUUUGAAAGUCUUAUAUUGCCAUGAAUGACAUCAUCACUAUGCAAAUAGUCAAGUCCACGAGCAGCACCAUGACAGAUCUGGAGGCGCUGUAUCGCGGUUAUGAACGACGUGGACUAAGACUUAACUGGAAUCUCGGGCAUAAUUCGUUCAAAAUGUUGCACAUGCUGAAUUCCACUAACGUUCAUGGAGCUUGCCGCUCUCACACACCCCACGCCCCCAUUCAAAAAUCGAACUGCGCAAUUGUUAAACAUCGAGAUCUGAAGAAUCAAGAUUCAAGAUACGAAUAUUAAAGAUCGAGAUCUGAAAGUCGAAGACCCAAGGUUUCAUAUGGUGCCUUGGAAGUUCGAAGGAUGGAUUGGAAUCGGAUGAGUGGAUUUGGAAGAUUAUGUGUUUAUUUCGACUUUUAAAACAAUGUUAUGUGUUAUUUUCGACAUGUUAUGUGUUAUUUUAGAACUUUGAAUUGUGUUGGUUUGUUUCUUUUGAACA